rnacentral:rRNA from 1 species
CCUACGAGAGGCCGCAGUGAGGAAUAUUGGUCAAUGGGCGCGAGCCUGAACCAGCCAAGUAGCGUGAAGGAUGACUGCCCUACGGGUUGUAAACUUCUUUUAUAAAGGAAUAAAGUGAGGCACGUGUGCAUUUUGGGAUGUACUUUAUGAAUAAGGAACGGCUAACUCCGUGCCAGCAGCCGAGGUAAUACGGAGGAUCCGAGCGUUAUACGGAUUUAGUGGGUUUAAAGGGAGCGGAGUUGGGUUUUUCAGGCAGUUGGGAAAGUUUGCGGCUCAACCGUAAAAUUGCACUUGAUACUGGCAGUCUUGAGUACAUUUGCGGUCGGCGGAAUUC